rnacentral:rRNA from 1 species
CCUACGGGUGGCUGCAGUGGGGAAUAUUGGACAAUGGGCGAAAGCCUGAUCCAGCCAUGCCGCGUGUGUGAAGAAGGCCUUCGGGUUGUAAAGCACUUUCAGUGGGGAAGAAAGCCUUGGGGCUAAUACCCUCGAGGAAGGACAUCACCCACAGAAGAAGCACCGGCUAACUCCGUGCCAGCAGCCGCGGUAAUACGGAGGGUGCGAGCGUUAAUCGGAAUUACUGGGCGUAAAGCGCGCGUAGGCGGUCUGAUAAGCCGGUUGUGAAAGCCCCGGGCUCAACCUGGGAACGGCAUCCGGAACUGUCAGGCUAGAGUGCAGGAGAGGAAGGGAGAAUUCCCGGUGUAGCGGUGAAAUGCGUAGAGAUCGGGAGGAAUACCAGUGGCGAAGGCGACCUUCUGGACUGACACUGACGCUGAGGUGCGAAAGCGUGGGUAGCAAACAGGAUUAGAUACCCCGGUAGUC